rnacentral:rRNA from 1 species
UACGGAGGGUGCAAGCGUUAUCCGGAUUCAUUGGGUUUAAAGGGUGCGUAGGCGGAAUGAUAAGUCAGUGGUGAAAUCUCUCGGCUUAACCGAGAAACUGCCAUUGAUACUGUCAAUCUUGAGUACAUUUGAUGUGGGCGGAAUGUGUCAUGUAGCGGUGAAAUGCUUAGAUAUGACACAGAACACCGAUUGCGAAGGCAGCUCACAAAACUGUAACUGACGCUGAGGCACGAAAGCGUGGGUAUCAAACAGG